UACAGGGGGGGCGAGCGUUGUUCGGAAUUACUGGUCGUAAAGGGUUUGUAGGUGGCUUGCUCAGUCAGACGUGAAAUCCCUCAGCUUAACUGGGGAACUGCGUCUGAUACUAGCGAGCUUGAGUGCAGGAGAGGAACGCGGAAUUCCAGGUGUAGCGGUGAAAUGCGUAGAUAUCUGGAGGAACACCGGUGGCGAAGGCGGCGUUCUGGACUGCAACUGACACUGAAAAACGAAAGCCAGGGGAGCAAACGGG
rnacentral:rRNA from 1 species